UCAUCUUGUAUUGACAUUGACUAUUUCAAUCAAUAGAUUAAAACAAUUUUAAAUCGUCAGCAAAUAAUAAAAAUUCACAGUUUCUUACAAAUAUUCCUAUACUAUUAAUAUUGAUUGUAAAAAGCAAUGGACCCACAUGCGAACACUGAGGAACGCCAGAUGGCACAGAAAAGCUGCUAGAUAAAAAGUUAUUAAGCCGCAUACAUUACAAUCUACCUUGUAAACAGUCCCCUAUCCAACAAAUAACAUUUAAUCCAAAACCCAAAGCUUGAAGCUUUGCCGGCUUUUACAUUGCCAUGACAGUUGCUUGGUUACAAGUGCAUCCAAAAGUUUAGGUAUCGAUUGAAUCCGCACAGGUUUUUAAUCUCCAGGGAAGAGACUUCUUCUGGAUAAAAGGGAAAACGGUUUGAUAUCAAUUAGUGUUUGUGGAAUUGUCGAAAAUCAGUAAUACGAGUAGGCUCAUUUAUUUAUUAAAUAAAAUCAUAAGAUACAAAA